rnacentral:misc_RNA from 1 species
CUCCUUGCAUAAUAUGGAUUCCAAACAUUCAUGAUCUGGAUGUGAAUGAGUCGAAUUACUUAUCCCUCGGUCUAUUAGUGAACUAUCUCUCCAGGGAUUGUGAAAGAUGUUCCACUAGAAAUAUUCUUGUUAUUGCUUCGACUCAUAUUCCCCAAAAAGUGGAUCCCGCUCUAAUAGCUCCGAAUAAAUUAAAUACAUGCAUUAA